GUGGCCUUGUUCUUUGUCAGUCAUGAGUUUGGGGUUAUUGCAAGACUGGAACAUAGAGAACAGGUUUCUGAGGAGAAGGGUGGGAGCUGCACUGGGCCAGACGUCAUUGCCACAAACAAGGGAGCCGGGGAACAAAUGCAGAAGGAACCAAGAGACCCUUUCCCAACACCCAGCAUACUCUGCUCUCCCGGGCUGCGCGCCAGAUACCAUCACAUUAGCCGCCUGUGCUGUGACCACCACUGUGUGCUGCUGCAGCCCGUUUUCCCGUGUUCUGUGAGAGGCUGCGUAGGGACCCUCACCAGGAGUAGAAUGAGGAGGAAGACGGGAAGCCUACUAAAGGGAAACGGAGUCACUAAGAGUCUGAUAGGACAUAAGACCCCAUUCCUCUUUGCUCAAGUGUCCGGCUUCCUCUCUGCCCUGCUGGGGCACAAUUCAGCUUCAGGAUAAGCUCCGCUCAAGUGGACAGAGGAGAAUGCAAGGCAAAGUACCUGGCACACUCCUCUCUGGCCUUGGAAGCAGCAGUCUCCUGGAAGAGGGAGCCAUUGUGCUUGAAGAAAGAAAAGAGUUAUUCUUUGUAGCCUAUCAGCCCUAGACCACCUUCCCCACCUAAAGAAGCACUCGUACGCCCAGGCCAGUGGUAACAAGAUAGCUCAGACACCUGGAGCACCUCGCUUCCCGUGGCUGCUGAUGGUACUGGAAAAGCCGCUCCUUGACUCGCCGCUUGUCCUCCUCCAUCACCUUCCUUUUGUCACAGCCUCGGAGGUUGACAAGGGUCA